rnacentral:rRNA from 1 species
AUGAACGCUGGCGGCGUGCCUAAUACAUGCAAGUCGAGCGAACAGACGAGGAGCUUGCUCCUCUGAUGUUAGCGGCGGACGGGUGAGUAACACGUGGAUAACCUACCUAUAAGACUGGGAUAACUUCGGGAAACCGGAGCUAAUACCGGAUAACAUGUUGAACCGCAUGGUUCAACAGUGAAAGACGGUCUUGCUGUCACUUAUAGAUGGAUCCGCGCCGCAUUAGCUAGUUGGUAAGGUAACGGCUUACCAAGGCAACGAUGCGUAGCCGACCUGAGAGGGUGAUCGGCCACACUGGAACUGAGACACGGUCCAGACUACUAAGGGAGGCAGCAGUAGGGAAUCUUCAGAAAUGGGAGAAAGCCUGACGGAGCAACGCCGCGUGAGUGAAGAAGGUCUUCGGAUCGUAAAACUCUGUUAGUAGGGAAGAACAAAUGUGUAAGUAACUAUGCACGUCUUGACGGUACCUAAUCAGAAAGCCACGGCUAACUACGUG